GGGCCGGUCGUCUAGCGUGGUAGGACGUCGCCCUUACGAGGCGAAGGUCGCCGGUUCAAGUCCGGCCCGGCCCA
rnacentral:tRNA from 1 species